rnacentral:rRNA from 1 species
UACGUAGGGAGCAAGCGUUGUCCGGAUUUACUGGGUGUAAAGGGUGCGUAGGCGGCUUUGCAAGUCAGAUGUGAAAUCUAUGGGCUCAACCCAUAAACUGCAUUUGAAACUGUAGAGCUUGAGUGAAGUAGAGGCAGGCGGAAUUCCCCGUGUAGCGGUGAAAUGCAUAGAGAUGGGGAGGAACACCAGUGGCGAAGGCGGCCUGCUGGGCUUUAACUGACGCUGAGGCACGAAAGCGUGGGUAGCAAACAGG